UUUUCUACCACAAGAACAAACCUGGGAGAAUUAUUCCAGAUUAUAUGAAUGUAUGUACACAGACUACAACA